rnacentral:rRNA from 1 species
AUACGGAGGGUGCGAGCGUUAAUAGGAAUUACUGGGCGUAAAGCGUACGUAGGCGGUUAUUUAAGUCAGAUGUGAAAGCCCCGGGCUCAACCUGGGAACUGCAUUUGAGACUGGAUGACUAGAGUUUAGUAGAGGGGAGUGGAAUUUCAGGUGUAGCGGUGAAAUGCGUAGAGAUCUGAAGGAACACCAGUGGCGAAGGCGACUCCCUGGACUAAAACUGACGCUGAGGUACGAAAGCGUGGGUAGCAAACAGGAUUAGAUACCCCAGUAGUCC